GUACACUAUAAUUGUUUUUAACAAAAAUAAAGUUUCUAGUUUCUCUGUUAUACUAAGGAAACAUAUUAUAGUAUUCUCCUCUACUGCUUGCUAUUGGUGUAAUAUGAACAUGCUAUCUACAUAAUGUGUGUGUGUGUGUGUAACAAGUUCUCCUUCAUGUUGGACUACAUGCAUACCACCCAACAUUUGGUGGUAUGAAAUUGGCAUGAUUUUAACCCUGGGGUGCAUUGUACUGCUGCAAAGUGAGCCCCUGCCAGCUUGCACUGAUCCUGUGGGGCUUAGAGGGUCUACUAUUGCGUUUGCGUAUGGUGAGUUUUUUUUUUAAAUUUUAUUUAUAUGUUACUCCUGUCACAUUUAUUACUAAGACCAGGACUGGGGACCACAGGAUUAUUCUGAUGGGCUUUUAACCUACUUAUACUUUGUAAGUGUAACCAUUAAAGCACGCAUCUUUACUGUUUUCAGUGUUGCACUAUGUUUCUUUCAAUUUUAUUCACAUGAAUCUUUGGAACCUCAAUACUAUUGAAUCUGGUGGAACCUACAGACUAUUGAUGAGCCUGAAUUUUCUGUGACUUUGUGAGUGUAACCUUGAAUUCUGUGUUUUUUGUAAAUGUAGAGACUUACCUGUCAGUCUCUUCAUUUACCUGUCAGAGCACUCUGAUUGGUUGGCUUGG